AUCUUUGUUUUUUUGUUUACACAAUUGAUUCGCCCACUCACAAGUCAAAUUCCCCAGAUUUUUCACAAAACAACACCUUUGCUAACAUAUGUUUUCUUUAUCUCGACUUUGCCUUUAUUGGGAAUCCGCUUAUCGACGCACGCCGUUGCUAAUGGAACUACAGUAUAUAUGGGUUAUAAGCUCUCGCCUGCUAAUUACUAAGAUACAUAUGUAUUUUGAAUUGGAUACAAUUAUGAAGGGGCGUUCAAAUAUGGUUGCUUUCUCCAUGGUCGACAACCUUCACAAGGCCGUAGCGCCUCGAAAGUCGUUCCACGGAUCAAUAGUUCCCGUGAAUUUACCGAAAAUGACAGAUAAUGACGAUGGGGCUUGUCGCACAACAUAUUAUCAUUAAAUCGCACUCGUGUCUCGGGACGGCAUUCGGUGGGGAUUCACCCAUCCAAGCGCAUUACGCGCAUUCGUUCCGCAUUUUUUCAGCUGCCACCCAACACCCACCGCCCUACCAACUGCCACACCCACACCUACAGGACGACCUUGGUACGGACCCCCUCAUUCAAUCAGAGGCGACUCAACAGAUUGCCUGUCGUUUGCCUGCCAGUGGAGCUGAAGCAAUUCCAAUUCAAUUUUAGCUGCGAUGACGAAGCCGGCGACAACGCUUGCUCCGACAGGGAUUUUCGCAUUUUUUGUAAAAAACUCGAAAUGGAAGCAGGGGGCGGCAGGAUGUGGGCGUGGUGCCCGGCCAGCACAUUGUAAGCAAUCAGCAGAGAAAGGGGGCGUAGCGAAAUCUCCAGCUGUCAAGGGGGGCUGUAGAUAAAAACCACCUCCCCAUACAGGACAUACGUACCAUUCACGACCGGAACGGACCCCCAGCCACGGUUAAUAUCCUUAUACGACUCAGACUCUCAAACAUAUAGCACACCUUUCCACAGUUGUGGUCAAAAUAAUAUAACUUCCUCUAGAAAUUGAAUAAAUCUUAAGUAUCACAAUUACUUGAGGUACUAUAGUUUUAAAAGUACAUAGACAAUUAUUUAUUUUAUAUAUCCUGAAAUCAAAAAGUACUUAAAUUGAAUGUGGUAUUUGUACUAAUUUUAGUUACUAAAACGUUUCAUGUCUUAAAUUAAAAAUAAAAGAAUUAUUAUUUAUUUGGAAGGGCUAUUAUUUUGACGGGCACUGUUUAAACAAGCAACCGGUGUGAAGGACAUCGUAAGUGA